rnacentral:rRNA from 1 species
CCCUUAGAUGUUCGGGGCCGCACGCGCGCUACACUGAAGGAAUCAGCACGUCUUUCUCCUUGUCCGAAAGGACUGGGUAACCCGCUGAACCUCCUUCGUGCUAGGGAUUUGGGCUUGUAAUUCUUCCCCAUGAACGAGGAAUUCCCAGUAAGCGCGAGUCAUAAGCUCGCGUUGAUUACGUCCCUGCCCUUUGUACACACCGCCCGUCGCUACUACCGAUUGGAUGGUUUAGUGAGAUCCUCGGAUUGGUCCCGGAGCGGCCUCUGGUCGUGCCGGAGUGCCGAAAAGAAUGUCGAACUUGAUCAUCUAGAGGAAGUAAAAGUCGUAACA